rnacentral:rRNA from 1 species
CAGCAGCCGCGGUAAUACGUAAGGACCGAGCGUUGUCCGGAAUCAUUGGGCGUAAAGGGUACGUAGGCGGUCUAGUAAGUUAGAAGUGAAAGGCAAUAGCUCAACUAUUGUAAGCUUUUAAAACUGCUAGACUUGAGAGAUUGAAGGGAAAGUGGAAUUCCAUGUGUAGCGGUGAAAUGCGUAGAGAUAUGGAGGAACACCAGUGGCGAAGGCGGCUUUCUGGCCUGUAACUGACGCUGAGGCGCGAAAGCGUGGGGAGCAAACAGGAUUAGAUACCCUGGUAGUCCACGCCGUAAACGAUGAGUGCUAGGUGUUAGGGGGUUUCCACCCCUUAGUGCUGCAGCUAACGCAUUAAGCACUCCGCCUGGGGAGUACGGUCGCAAGACUGAAACUCAAAGGAAUUGACGG